rnacentral:lncRNA from 1 species
CUUUAUUUAAAAUUUUAUUUUCUUAAAAAAAAAAAACUCAAACAUGGUUCACACACAAACUAUAUCUAUAUAUAGGUAGCAUAUAUAGUCCUUAUAUUUAGACAUAUUAUACAAGUUAUCAUAACAACCAUUCAUGCAUAAUAUAGAUAAAAAAUAAUAAUGCAUAGCUUGCAAUAUCAAUGUUGAUGCAUCGGGCCAUGCUGGUUGUAGAUGUUGUGAAGUGUGAAUGGAAACUCCAUGAAUCGAUAUAAAUUUCAUGUUUUGCUGUAGCUAUGCCAACUUUUACUGUAUUUGGGAGAACAUGUUUCAAAUUAACGACUCCACUAAAUUUGCGAAAAGAGAGAAAUUCAUCCUCAAGAACGGUCAAUGUUUUCGUCGACGAUUCAUAUCGUAUCCCCACUGAAAUCAAUGAUCCACUGUUCCUUGUGAGAGGCACAAUUUUCAGCCAAUUUCUAGAGUUUACAUCGAUUCCAGUAUGUGAAUACGUUGGAUCCUCUUGUUGAAAAUUUUCACCAACAAGAAAGAAGACGAGUUUACCAGGCCGAUCAAUAUAUUUUUCUUUGUCCAUUACGACGAAAGAGAAGGUGGUGUUAAAGUUUGCAAUGUUACCGGUGUUUUUAUUCCAAAUAGGAAUUGGUGUCGAAUACAAGACCCAACCUACAUCCGUAUUAGGGUUUGCAGAGUUAGUCAGUGACAAUAAUCCAUCGGGUAAAAUCUGGGCACUCCCAUAGAGGGUAAAGUUAUCAGUGGCUUGGCUGAAGUUUUUGACAUCAAAGGAAUAAUAAUUUGUGUCAAGCAAUUGGGAAUUCCCUUCUGUUGCUUGCAAGAGAAAGAACAUUGUGAAAACUAAAAAAAGAACAGAAAAUAGAGUUUGAGUUGGAAGAUAUGAGCUAGAGAAAGCCAUGGUAUUGAAGUUUUGAUAUUGAAUUGUGAAUGAAUGUUUGUAAUUUGUCACAUCUAUGUACUUAUAUAAACGCACUUGGGGCUAUUUUUUUAGAAUAAUUUUAGUGCGAGGGCAUGAUGCUUAAGAUAAUUAAAAUUUAAAUAAUUUUUUUUUCUUUUUGGUCAGGUAGUCUAGUGGCUAGAAUUCACCUUUUUUAAGGUGAAUAAGUGGGAUGUCCGGAGUUCGAACCCCGGCCCCUGCAUAUAACAAUGCAUGUCCCUGCCAACUGAGCUAUGCUCACAGAGACAAAUUAAAUAACUUUUUAUUAAUACCAAACCGAACCACAUACAUAAAUGUUAAUACUCAGUAAUCUAUUAGUUUUUUUUAAUAAUACUCAUUAGUAUUUUAUUU